UGCUAACACAUCGACCCCUGAGGAUCUUACGAAAAACUUUCCAUUAUUUUACUCGAAGUCAACGAAAAUCGAGCAGAACCAAAAGCUGAUCGCUGUCAAAAAAGUUUAGCGACAACCAAGGAUGACAGCAGCAAUGACAGUGUUUUUACAGUAUGAUAAACAGGCUCUGGUGUCACAUUCGGAGGUCAUGUCUGUUCCCGUCAACGAGACAGCAGGUAUGCGCAUCCCUGGCCCCUCAGCCAUUGUCUGCACAUGAAAAUAAAACAACAUCACGCGGAUCAUCUUUCUCACCAGCACACCUCCUGCACCAGCGCUGAACUCAAUGCCACUUCCCCAAACACACACAGACUCCACACCCUUAACAUACUGGCAAGAGUGAGCUAUACUCUGCUUAAAUGGCCUAAUGCAUACAUGUUAUUAUAAAAUGGACCAUGGUAAUAUCACAAAGCAUCUUUUGUGUGUAACGUAAAUGGUACCACCACAGUGGUAACGCAUUUUCCUUUCCUAGUUUAAUGAGUCAAUGUGUCUGUUUUCCUCUGUGAAGAGGAGGUGAACACAUUUCUCACGGCUGGCACUUUAGUCAUUCUCUCCUUAGGCUUGCGAUGUGGAGCUGCUUCCUGACACAGAGCCGCAGAGGAAAGACACAGCAACGGUCACAACUCACCACAGCUCUGCACCACGGCAAGCCACACAUCCGCACGCUGCAACCAACACACACAGCACACAGGACUGCACCGCUGCUGAGCCGCAUGAAGCCAUGAUGGAUGUCACGAUGAAAGCUGAGCAGGAGUGCAUACUGUACGCUUACAGACCUCAAACUGAGAAUACAAAACAUACCGAUAAACAUGGACACACUCCAUUAGCGAGUACAGGCCCAGCCCAGGUCAUUUGUGUGAGAAGGGCAGUGGGCAUGAAGAACAGGGUGUGUAGUGGAGUGGAUCGGCACCCGGUGCUCCCUUACCGUUCUGCCAUUACAAGCCAUUACAAGUGACCUCUGACCUCCAUCCACCCUUAGAUGAAACAGCAAGUCUGGUCUUGCUUCAUUCGUUCAGAAGGCAGAUAAAAGGUGGAGCGGUGGAUUGGGGGUGAGUAAGUGAUCCAUUCUACAGACAUGUCCCAAACCUACAAACGCAGAGCUUCGGGGCUCUCCUGUGGCUAUGCAGAUGCGAAAGAAUACAAAAAAUGAAUUUUAAUCACCCCAGAAAUCUCCAAUUACUGCACAGCUACCCGUCACAAAUCUGUCUCCUCAGGACACGUUCCAGAAAUGACAGGGGCGCUUCAGCGAGGCAUUUUUACGGCACGUGCCCAUCCUGACAGCAGACGUACAGUUUCUCCUAAUUACUAGAAGUCUUCUCAGUAGCCGCAUUUCCUAUUUCCUUCCUCAGUGACCUAAAGGAUCCAGCAGACACACUGAACCACGAUUGGUCGGCCAGCCUGGCUG